rnacentral:rRNA from 1 species
GGAGAGUUUGAUCAUGGCUCAGGAUGAACGCUGGCGGCGUGCCUAAUGCAUGCAAGUCGAACGAGGUCGGUCCUUCGGGGCCCAAACCUAGUGGCAGACGGCUGAGUAACGCGUGGGUGACCUGCCCCCGAGAACGGGAUAACUGCGGGAAACUGCAGCUAAUACCGUAUACAUUCCCGUGCUUCAAUGCGCGGGAAGAAAGAUUUAUCGCUCGGGGAUGGGCCCGCGUCCUAUCAGGUAGUUGGUGCGGUAACGGCGCACCAAGCCUAAAACGGGUAUCUGGUGUGAGAGCAUGACCAGACAGAGGGGGACUGAGACACGGCCCCCACUCCUCCGGGAGGCAGCAGCAAGGGAUCGUGCACAAUGGGCGAAAGCCUGAUGCCGCGACGCCGCGUGAGGGAUGACGGCUUUCGAGUUGUAAACCUCUUUUCUCAGGGAAGAGCGAGGACGUCACCUGAGGAAUAAGUCACGGCUAACUACGUGCCAGCAGCCGCGGUAAUACGUAGGUGGCAAGCGUUGUCCGGAAUUACUGGGCGUAAAGGGUCCGUAGGCGGUUUGGUAAGUCUCAUGUGAAAUCUCCCGGCUCAACUGGGAGGGGUCAUGGGAUACUGGCAGACUUGAGUGCAGCAGAGGGGAGUGGAAUUCCCGGAGUAGUGGUGGAAUGCGUAGAUACCGGGAGGAACACCAGAGGCGAAGGCGACUCCCUGGGCUGUGUCUGACGCUGAGGCGCGAAAGCGUGGGUAGCAAACAGGAUUAGAUACCCUGG